rnacentral:tRNA from 1 species
GCCUUGUAAGUUUAAGAAAACAAUCAAUCUUGUAAAUUGAAAAAGUAGGGCUAAAUUCCCUAACAAAGCU